GAGAGAGAGCCGGUCACACAGUGGAGUCAGCUGUCUUAACUGUCCGUGUCUUGUGUACUGCAAACACAUACAAGCUUCAUCACUGUCUCUGUCACACGACUCUGUUCCCCUUUCAGGCUUGAACUGAUGGUAAAACUAAGGACAUAAUUAACUGUUUACAUUUAUUUUGAAAGAUGAAGCUCACGAUUAUGGAAAGGGGUGUUACAUUUCCAACGAGUGCUGAUCGACAGAGUAAGUAUCUCUCAUAUAUAUAUUAAUUUGCUACUUUAAAGCAGUUAUACAUUCUUGCAUUAACCCAGUCCAAUGCAUUUAUUGUACUUACUAGCUCUUCAUGACCUCUGAUCUCUCAGAACUUUGUUAUUCAGUGCAACAUUUCGGAAGAAAAUUUAAAAGCUGGCGCGAGAUAUUUUGGUUUGCCCCCAUUCGUGUUGUGCAGGGAGAUAUAGGAGAGGCUAAUGAAGAUGUCAUUCAGAUAGUGGAGGUGCUGCAUUCUGGGCAGGAAAAGUGGGGUUGGCUGACACGCAGGCUGGUUGAGUUCACCUCAGCUGGUUCUGUGCUCAUCUUUUUCACUAAAAAGACGAACUGUGAGGAACUGGCUACAAAUCUCAAUCAGGAAGGUUAUAGCCUAGGGCUGCUGCAUAGAGACAUGGAUCAGAGUGAGAGGAACAAAGUCAUUGCUGACUUUGAAGAAGAAUCUGCCCGUAUUAGUAGCUACUGAUGUUGCUGCUCAAGGGUUGGAUAUCCCAUCUAUCCGUACAGUUGUGAACUAUGAUGUAGCACGAGACAUUGACACACAUACACAUCGAAUUGGUAGAACAGGUCACGCAGGAGAGAAGGGUUUAGCUUACACUCU